rnacentral:rRNA from 1 species
GCAGCAGUGGGGAAUUUUGGACAAUGGGCGAAAGCCUGAUCCAGCAAUGCCGCGUGAGUGAAGAAGGCCUUUGGGUUGUAAAGCUCUUUUAGUGAGGAAGAUAAUGACGGUACUCACAGAAGAAGUCCUGGCUAACUCCGUGCCAGCAGCCGCGGUAAU